GAAAACAUAUACAUAUAUAUAUAUACAUGUAACUUAAGAAAAACACGUGGUACAUUUUCGAAACAUGCAAAAGAUUCGAUUUUUUACUGGCCGUAAUUGCAAAAAUUUAAUGUCCUUAGACGUCUAUUUAUAUACAUUGUUGUUUAACCUAAUCGUACUUGUAGUACUUCGAUUGUGCGUAUAUUAUUUAAUUUCAUAUAUUACCACGUUCUAUUAUUCGCGUUACAAAUCGCGCGUAAAGAAUUUUUUACAUACGCUGACGAAUUUAUAUUAUAUCAUCUGGAUUAUAUUAAAUCGAGAAAAUCCAAUGAUACUUUUUGAUGAAAAUGGAAACCGAUUCAAGCAAAGCUACUUGCCUUGAGAUUCGCUCUUCCGAUUCUUUUUCACGGUCUCGUUGCUUUUCGAAGCCUGCUUGGAACUGCUUUUUCAACACUCCUGAUCAGAAUCAGAAUUCAGACUGAUGAAGAAAGUCGGGUCCGUUUUCCUAUUUCCGUUUAUUCGACAAAGGGAAAAUCAGAGGACAGUUUUCCAAGAGUUUCGAUUGUGGUUCCGAAGCUAUACAUGUGGAAUCAUUCGGAACCUUUUAGCUAACUUCAGUCGGGCAAACGUGUAUUGGCGGGAACGAUGACAGAUGGAGCCACAAAGCAGUUUUUCAUAACCUGCUAAAUUCAGGCAACGUAAUGUCGACGACGAUUGCAAUGGAGGAUGAUAUUCAAUCAAGAAUAUAAUGUAUAUAAAAGAAUUCCUAAACAUAAGAAAGCUGAAAUUGAGAAGGAGCAAAUCUCAACUCGGUGCGAGGCUACUUAUCGUUAGAGAUGAUAUUACUUCACAUUAUAAUCUCUUAUUAAAGCAAUCUCUCGAAGAAAAUAGAAAUAUCAGAAUAAAGCUGAUGUUGCAUAUUUUGAUUUACCUGUGUUAAAAGCUUGAACUAAUUCCUUUUUCUUUUUUCAAACAGAUUACGUUUUUACAUAUAAAUUUCCAGAUUUAUUAUAAGAAAGCGUGGGACAUAUACAUAUAAAUGAAAAAUAAUAUUGUUUCAGGCAUUUAGCGGAAAAAUCUGAAGUACGUGUAAUUAUGAACUUAGUUUAAUAUUUUCGCUCAAUAUAGCAAAGAACAUGUUCUCCAAAAUUGCCUUAAUUAAAGAUUGUAACGUGAAAUAUAUAAUACCACACAAUUUUCAAGCAGAAUCGAUCGUUCUUUUUUGCUUCUACAGGUACCGAAGUCAUUGCUCUCUUUCCCGUGCGUGAUUGCAUUGUAUUCACUUUUUUCUCGGUUUCCCCUUUCUUGGUGGAGAUGGAUAAUGGAGUCGAAAAGGGAUCAACGUGACGUCGUGAUUUUUAUAAGCCACAUGAUUACGCACAAUAAGCCUCUUCGGCUCCAGGCAUCUAUAAAGUUCACUAUUGCAUGCGAAGUGAAUGGCGCCAAAACCCACGCAAAACACACACACACACACACACACACACACGACAGUUAAGUCGCGAAUAUACGGAUAGAUUAACCCUCGUUCGGUCCCCCGACUUUAUUAAAAAAAAUGUCUCUUUUUUCCCAACUUACCCUCCCACCUUAACUUUUGCUCGAUUAAUAGGAAUGAAGAGAACAUAUCGCGCGCGAGGAAGGAAAAUCUUCUUUGUGCUGGACACGACAAUAUAAAUUCAAGGUUGCGACAAACGUAGAAUAAAAGCGAAAAGGGAAGAACUUAUUAAAGCAGAAUGCACGAAGCGAAUAAAAUAUGCGUACUGGAAUUUCUUUCAAUUUUUCCGAUAAUCUUCACAUGAAAUUAAUUCAUAGGUGAAAUAAGUACUCGAGCGAACAUUUAUAAUCGUUGCUGAUUAAUUAUCGGUCUUUUCCGACAAGUCUUAUUAUUUACACAUUAAUAUACAUUUUUUUCGAUCUACACGAUUUUUUAUAUUCAGGAAAUUUCAGAUGUUUCGAUUUCAAAAGUAAAAAAAUGCAACUAAUGAAGGGAAGAGAAAGAUUGAGGGAGAUAGUUUUCUAGAAAAAUUUAAAAGGGCGAGAAAAAAAGCUUUGCCCGAUUUAUACGGGAAAUUCAUGUUACACAGUAUUAUAUAAUUAUCUCACAAUUAUAGUUGAUAAUGACAAGUUGGAUUGUAGAAGGUGUUAAACUAAACAAAAGUGCUCGAUCGAUGGUUUCUAUCGUUUAAUAUUUAAUUAUCAAUAGUUGUAGAAUUGCGUAAGCUGUUUUUCACAUUGGCUGUUAAAUCUGAAGGAAGAAUAAUUUUUGCAGAAAGCGUUACGAUAUUAAUAUUAUAUAAUAUUAAUUAGCGGGCGUUAAUUAAAGAAGCUACAAAAGUACGAGGUGGAAUUUGCGCGUCACGGAUUAUAUAUGUAUAUUUAUUAUGUAUUAUCGACCUUUCAUGCCGACUUGUUAUUUCUGACAUUGUAAUAUAGCGAUUAUUAUUGCUUGAAACGUUUUCUUCAGCUCUCGUAGGGCAAGCUUGAGGUUUCGGUUUUUCCGUAGGAGGAAUUUUUAAAUAACAAAAAAUUACAACGCAUUUGAUGUAUUAUGAUUUGCAGGAAAGAUUUAGAAUCAAUAUUUAUUGAAAUUCUUAAAUGCAUCGUAUCAAUAAUUUGACAGAAAUAUACAAUAUAUAAAUAAUUACAGUUUACAACUUUCAGAUUGUAAACGUUGAAGAUAUUGUUUUCUUCACUGAGAAAAAAUUGUUUAUAUUUUUGUUUAAACAUAUGCAGUAUAAACAAAAGUAUGACAUCUUGAUUUGAUUAAUUAUGUCAUUGAAUUAACAAAUCAACUGUAUAUGUUUGUGGCAGCCCGUGACGUCGACGUUCAAUUGAAUCAAUAACAUUUUUUUCUCUGUGUUUGCUUUCCAAAUUAAUUCAACAUAUUUUUUCUAAUCAUUCACGAAUGAAAAUGUGUCUAUCUAAAUUUUAUGUAGAAAUUUGAGUAUUUCUUUUUUAUCGAACACUAUUUGAUCGGAUUUUUUGCAACACUUGCCGCAAGAUAUGAGCAGACGCCAAAUCAAACAAGCUUUAAUUUCAGAAAAAGGUUUAUCUUUGGAAUUAAUGCGGAUAACGUUGGUGAUAUGUUAGUCGCCGUAUAUAACUAAUUAAAUCUUUUAAAAGUACUUUGAAACCGUCCAGGUUUUUUCUGUCCUCUCGUGGAAGAGUAAUAUUCGUCUCGUGUCUUCGAGCGACGUCUUAAUUUUCUUCGCAAACGGUGAAUCGACUAAAUGUAACGUGUCUGAAAAAAUCUAACGACGUUGCGGGAAUUUAGCAUAGAAAUUAUGAAGUUGGCAUGCAAGUUUCGUAACUCCUACCGGAUAGGAGAGGAAAAAGACAAGCAAUUUAAUUCCUCUUCAAGAGAAAUAUUCUUCGUGCAUCAAGCGCAUAUCUGUACGAAAGAUGAAAGAUAUUUCCGAAAGUUUGAGGACAAAGAAAAAUCAUGCGAUAUUUCCCGAAUACACUUAUCUAUCGUCAUUUCGAAACAAUUCUAUCGUCAUACAAUGUCCUGAUGUUCUCGAGUCGAAAUUUUGCUCCUAUUUUCAAUCUCAAUUUUCUCACAGAGAUUCUAGAGAAUUUCGAUAGAUGUAAUUUAUACAGGAUGAUUUAUUAAAUGCACAACAAUACUUUAGAAGGUAAAUGUACACAGUAAAAUAAGUAUAGGAAAUGUGAUUUGAACAUAAAUCAUAUACUAUGGUUUCUGAGUUAUAGAAGAUUAAAGGAAAUGCUCGAACUGUGGUGCUUUAUAUAUUACAUCAUAUAUGUUGUAUCAUAUGUACAUAUAUGUUUUAUGAUGCGUCUUUAUAUAAUACAAUGAGUUCCUAUAAUUCCCUGGAAAAUAACAAAUAUUGUUCGAAUUGUUUUGAAUCCAUUUUAUGUCACUUGUUGCAAAUUGUGAACGUAACUAAUUUGCAUAGCGUAUAUGAUAGAUUUAAAAUUUUUUAGAUUUUUUAAUUUUAAAUAAUCGCAAAAAUAAAAUUGGCCUAAAGGGUUUAUAUUAUAAUGAAAUUAUCAUCAUGCUGUGGAUCUUUGCCCUAUCGAACUGGGAAGAAGUUAUUUAAAAAUAUUCGAAUUGCAACAAGGAAAUACCCUCGAGCAUUUUCUUUAAUCUUCCAUAACUCAGAAACCAUGUACGACUUAUGUCUAAAUAACAUUUCUUAUUUGUUUUAAUGUGUACAUUCAUUCCCUGAUGUAUUUAUAAAUAAUUCCAUAUAUAUACAAAUUGAAAUAGCACUUUUUGCCUCAAGUAGGCAAUAAACAAACAAUUUACUGUUUACUUACAAAACAGGAUAAAAUUAUAAGUUAAAUAGUUUUAAGAGAGAUUGAUCUGAUGACUGUGUAUGUGUGUGUGCUUAAAAUAUCAAAGUUAAUGUUAAAUUGAAAAUUAUAGUUAAAAGUAGAGGAGUAAAAUUGUAAUUGGGUAAAAUA